CAUGCCCUCACCCUGCAGCCCUGGGAUCUCAUGGUUCCCCUCUGGUCUCAGGCCCUUCAGCAAUACUGAAACUCAUCAGAGAAGCUCCACCAGGAACUGCAGGACAAAUGGCACGUAGCUCCAUCUGAAAAUAAAGCAACAAUGCCAGCAGCAGAAAUCAGCUGCUGUGCAAGUAGAAACUGUUUUGUGUCAUGGACUGGCUGAAAAAUCCAAGUUGUGAAGAGAGCAGGGAAAAGGAGAAAUCCACCCCCGGCAGGACAGGACAAGGAGGAACCCGGGCUUCAGACCAGGAUUACUCCAGGAAUGUGCUGAAUCACAGCUCAAGGGUGGGGAUUUAAAGCCUCUUGAGCAACAAGACGAUUUUUCUGCCAGUCUUAUGGUUAAAAGUACAAAACAAAUCACUGUAUCAUCAGCUUUUACUACCUUUUGUGCAAAUGGUAACAACAGCAAUUUUUGAAAAUGCACACAAGCAUGUUUUUUUAGAGUCUUACUGAAACACAGUGAGUCAAAAUGCCAUUCCUGGGGCAAAAAUCCAUAAUAUUCUUUACAUCAAAGUAUUUACGACAUUUUAGCUUUUUCAAGUGAAGCAAAGUCAUGUGGCUGAGGGGGUACAAAAAUCCCCUAAAAGAACAGAAAACUGUUUAACAAGACAGCACCCCUUGCACUUUACAUGCCAGAAGCAAAAAUGUGCUGCUGCAACAACUCCCAGCCUCGCUUGUGCAAGAGCAGCCAGCAGAGUCCCAGCAAAGCCAGUUUUUAUUUCCCUUCUUUAUUGGUUGGGUUUGGCUCCUAAGAGGCUGCUCAGAGGUCUGCAGAGCUCAUCUCACAGCAGUAAGGCAGAGCUGCUCUCUAGCCACCUUUAUCUGAGAAAGAAAUGGGAUUCACCUCUGCUUCCCUGGGCCCACAGGGGAAUUUUUAACGCACCUGUGGGAGAUGCAGUUUCCUCAGCAACAAUCUCCACAUGACAGCUCCAUGUCACAAGCAUUACUGGGGAUGAAGUUCAGCACAGCAUGUGGAAGGGACUAUCUGGUCAGCUGGUCACUGAGAGGCAUAUUUCUUCCUCUGAGGGCAAGAUCCUUCAGUUUUCCAUCUUUACAGAAAGGAAGAUGCAUGAGAAAAAAAAGAGUACAAGGAGGCGGCAUGGGAUUGCAAGGGGUGCAAAACAGAACACGUUUUGCAAGAUAGCUCUGUGACAAAUGUCUCUCCCAUUGUUAACCCACAGAGCUGGUUGGCACCAGAGCCUCCACAAGAUUUAUGCAGCUUGUGGAUGUGUAAGAUGGGUUUUAACAGCUGUGGAAUACCAGGUUGGAAGGACCUCGAGGAUUAUUUGGUCCAACCAAACUUUCAAGGAAAAAGCAUGGUCUAAAAGAAGCUCAGCACCCUCUCCAGCCAAAUCUUAAGUGUCCCCAGGUGCUGGGGAAUACACUGCUUCCCUGGGGAGAUUAUUCCAAUGGUGGAUUGUUUUUAUUGUGAAAAGUUAUCCUCUUGUGUGCAAUCAGAAUCUCCCCAGGAGUAAAUUGUACCCAUAAGUGCUCAUUUUUUUCCCAUAGACCCCUUAUAAAAAGGGAUUCUCUAUCUUGUUUGUAACCACCCUUUGAACAGUGGAACACAGUGAUCAGAACUUUCAUAAGCUUUUUUCCUCAAGAUUCAACAAUAAAAUUGUGCAGUUCACAUGUGAUCUUUUCUAAAACCAGUCUGUAAGUGCAAAAUUGGCAGAAAGCUCCCUAGGUGUGGGUAAGAAAAGAGAACUGUAAUGCACAGUGGAUCCUGGCCCUUCAGGGCACUGCUUGCACACCCUGAAGUGUGUGUUGCUGCCUGAGGGUUAUCCUUUUGUCCAUGUUCUUCACUUUUAAAAUAAAUCCUUCAUCUGCUUGUUAACCA